CCUACGGGAGGCAGCAGUGAGGAAUAUUGGUCAAUGGACGAGAGUCUGAACCAGCCAAGUAGCGUGAAGGAUGACUGCCCUAUGGGUUGUAAACUUCUUUUAUAUGGGAAUAAAAUGUUCCACGUGUGGGAUUUUGUAUGUACUAUAUGAAUAAGGAUCGGCUAACUCCGUGCCAGCAGCCGCGGUAAUACGGAGGAUCCGAGCGUUAUCCGGAUUUAUUGGGUUUAAAGGGAGCGUAGGUGGAUUGUUAAGUCAGUUGUGAAAGUUUGCGGCUCAACCGUAAAAUUGCAGUUGAAACUGGCAGUCUUGAGUACAGUAGAGGUGGGCGGAAUUCGUGGUGUAGCGGUGAAAUGCUUAGAUAUCACGAAGAACUCCGAUUGCGAAGGCAGUUCACUGGACUGCAACUGACACUGAGGCUCGAAAGUGUGGGUAUCAAACAGGAUUAGAUACCCCUGUAGUC
rnacentral:rRNA from 1 species